rnacentral:rRNA from 1 species
UACGUAGGGGGCAAGCGUUGUUCGGAAUUACUGGGCGUAAAGCGUGCGCAGGCGGUUUUGCAAGUCAGAUGUGAAAGCCCCGGGCUCAACCUGGGAAUUGCAUUUGAAACUACAAGGCUAGAGUGUGUCAGAGGGGGGUAGAAUUCCACGUGUAGCAGUGAAAUGCGUAGAGAUGUGGAGGAAUACCGAUGGCGAAGGCAGCCCCCUGGGAUAACACUGACGCUCAUGCACGAAAGCGUGGGGAGCAAACAGG